AUGGUUAAGUGGGAAACGAUGUGGGAAGGCCCAGACAGCCAGGAUGUUGGCUUAGAAGCAGCCAUCAUUUAAAGAAAGCGUAAUAGCUCACUGGUCGAGUCGGCCUGCGCGGAAGAUGUAACGGGGCUAAACCAUGCACCGAAGCUGCGGCAGCGACACCGUGUGUUGUUGGGUAGGGGAGCGUUCUGUAAGCCUGUGAAGGUGUGCUGUGAGGCAUGCUGGAGGUAUCAGAAGUGCGAAUGCUGACAUAAGUAACGAUAAAGCGGGUGAAAAGCCCGCUCGCCGGAAGACCAAGGGUUCCUGUCCAACGUUAAUCGGGGCAGGGUGAGUCGACCCCUAAGGCGAGGCCGAAAGGCGUAGUCGAUGGGAAACGGGUUAAUAUUCCCGUACUUGGUGUUACUGCGAAGGGGGGACGGAGAAGGCUAUGUUGGCCGGGCGACGGUUGUCCCGGUUUAAGCGUGUAGGUAUGUGUUCCAGGUAAAUCCGGUUCACUUUAACACUGAGGCGUGACGACGAGGCACUACGGUGCUGAAGCAACAAAUGCCCUGCUUCCAGGAAAAGCCUCUAAGCAUCAGGUAACAUCAAAUCGUACCCCAAACCGACACAGGUGGUCAGGUAGAGAAUACCAAGGCGCUUGAGAGAACUCGGGUGAAGGAACUAGGCAAAAUGGUGCCGUAACUUCGGGAGAAGGCACGCUGACACGUAGGUGAAGUGAUUUACUCACGGAGCUGAAGUCAGCCGAAGAUACCAGCUGGCUGCAACUGUUUAUUAAAAACACAGCACUGUGCAAACACGAAAGUGGACGUAUACGGUGUGACGCCUGCCCGGUGCCGGAAGGUUAAUUGAUGGGGUCAGCGCAAGCGAAGCUCCUGAUCGAAGCCCCGGUAAACGGCGGCCGUAACUAUAACGGUCCUAAGGUAGCGAAAUUCCUUGUCGGGUAAGUUCCGACCUGCACGAAUGGCGUAAUGAUGGCCAGGCUGUCUCCACCCGAGACUCAGUGAAAUUGAACUCGCUGUGAAGAUGCAGUGUACCCGCGGCAAGACGGAAAGACCCCGUGAACCUUUACUAUAGCUUGACACUGAACAUUGAGCCUUGAUGUGUAGGAUAGGUGGGAGGCUUUGAAGUGUGGACGCCAGUCUGCAUGGAGCCGACCUUGAAAUACCACCCUUUAAUGUUUGAUGUUCUAACGUGGACCCGUGAUCCGGGUUGCGGACAGUGUCUGGUGGGUAGUUUGACUGGGGCGGUCUCCUCCUAAAGAGUAACGGAGGAGCACGAAGGUUGGCUAAUCCUGGUCGGACAUCAGGAGGUUAGUGCAAUGGCAUAAGCCAGCUUGACUGCGAGCGUGACGGCGCGAGCAGGUGCGAAAGCAGGUCAUAGUGAUCCGGUGGUUCUGAAUGGAAGGGCCAUCGCUCAACGGAUAAAAGGUACUCCGGGGAUAACAGGCUGAUACCGCCCAAGAGUUCAUAUCGACGGCGGUGUUUGGCACCUCGAUGUCGGCUCAUCACAUCCUGGGGCUGAAGUAGGUCCCAAGGGUAUGGCUGUUCGCCAUUUAAAGUGGUACGCGAGCUGGGUUUAGAACGUCGUGAGACAGUUCGGUCCCUAUCUGCCGUGGGCGCUGGAGAACUGAGGGGGGCUGCUCCUAGUACGAGAGGACCGGAGUGGACGCAUCACUGGUGUUCGGGUUGUCAUGCCAAUGGCACUGCCCGGUAGCUAAAUGCGGAAGAGAUAAGUGCUGAAAGCAUCUAAGCACGAAACUUGCCCCGAGAUGAGUUCUCCCUGAGACUUUAGGUCUCCUGAAGGAACGUUGAAGACGACGACGUUGAUAGGCCGGGUGUGUAAGCGCAGCGAUGCGUUGAGCUAACCGGUACUAAUGAACCGUGAGGCUUAACCUUACAACGCCGAAG
rnacentral:rRNA from 1 species